UUUCUUCAGGGCAGGGUGAAAUUCCCGACCGGCGGUUAUAGUCCGCGAACCGGUGCUUAGGCAAUGGUUGAACUUGUGUAAUUCAAGUACCGACAGUACAGUCUGGAUGGGAGAAGAA
rnacentral:ncRNA from 1 species